CUCAGGAUGAACGCUAGCUACAGGCUUAACACAUGCAAGUCGAGGGGAAACGAUAGAGAAAGCUUGCUUUUUCUAGGCGUCGACCGGCGCACGGGUGAGUAACGCGUAUCCAACCUGCCCAUCACUUGGGGAUAACCUUGCGAAAGUAAGACUAAUACCCAAUGACGUCUCUAGAAGACAUCUGAAGGAGAUUAAAGAUUUAUCCGGUGAUGGAUGGGGAUGCGUCUGAUUAGCUUGUUGGCGGGGUAACGGCCCACCAAGGCGACGAUCAGUAGGGGUUCUGAGAGGAAGGUCCCCCACAUUGGAACUGAGACACGGUCCAAACUCCUACGGGAGGCAGCAGUGAGGAAUAUUGGUCAAUGGACGAGAGUCUGAACCAGCCAAGUAGCGCGCAGGAUGACGGCCCUAUGGGUUGUAAACUGCUUUUAUAAGGGAAUAAAGUGAGUCUCGUGAGACUUUUUGCAUGUACCUUAUGAAUAAGGACCGGCUAAUUCCGUG
rnacentral:rRNA from 1 species